GCCAUUUUGACAGUUGCCGACCCAAUUGAGAGCUCAGCUCUCAAUGGGGUCGGCUCGGCUCGGCACCUGUCAGACCAAUACAUUUCUUCAUUGUAGCAAACAAAUGGAAAAUAAGUUUGGCAAAAGAGCUGUAUGGCAAUUUAUAUUUUUGUUGUCAACAUCAAUCAAUUGUCAAACCAAAAUAAAUAAAAUCAUUACACCUAACCUACGAUUAAUGUAAAGUAAAUUUUGAUUUGAUUUGUGAUAUUAAUGAAUUACAUUUAUUAUUAUAUUUAUGAUGUAACAUAAUUACAGUAUAUUGUGUAAAUAAAACAGCAAAUUAUUAAGUUCUGUGACCCUUUAAUUUAAAGGAUUAUUAUAAUUUAAGGGACUGAGCAGAUUUAAACCGAAGCACAAGAGCUUCUGACUGUGUUAUUUAAUAUCUUUUCGUGCUGAUCAGGUUUAUGAAUUACCACAUUUUUAUUUCUACAGUUAGAAUGGAAGAUAAUUAUUCGCAUGAUAGUUGUGCGAUUGUCUAUGUAACCGAGAGCAUACCAGGACCUGCGGAAACAAAUGCUGAAUCUAUAGAACUGAUAAAUAAUUUUAAUUCUCAACUGUCAGAUCACUGCAACUGUAUUUCUAUUUGUGACCCCCAGAAAUGUCAGUGUUUGCUGAAAUGUAGUGGUUUUACAUAUGGUAAUGGUCGGCUAAUGAAUCUUGAUGAAAUUUCCAACCAGUCAUUUCCACUUAAUGAAUGCAACAACCAUUGCAAUUGCUCAUAUGACUGUAAAAAUAGAAUUGUGCAAAAGGGUCCAAUGAACGGUUUAUAUGUAAAGAAUUGUUCUGAGUUUAAAGGUUUAGGUCUUUACACUAGUGUUUUUAUUCCUAAGGGUAUGUUUAUAUGUGAAUAUGCUGGAGAGAUCAUCACUCAAUCUCAAGCUGUAUCGAGAUAUAAAAGAAAUGAAGUGGAAAAAAAAAUGAACUACAUAUUUUGUUUGCAAGAAUUCAGUAAUGGGAGUGUCACAAAAACAUUUGUUGAUCCUUCUUACAUGGGAAAUAUUGGUGGUGCACAAAGUUCAUGGAAAGUAAACAGCUUGAAGAAGUGUUUUUGUAGGAGUGAAAAUUGUACAGGUUGGUUACCAUUUGAUACAUCAAAUCAAUGUUAAAAAGGUUUUGAUUUUAUAAGUUGACUACAGCAAAAUGUUGCUUUUGUAAGCAAAUCAAUAAAUAUCUGCUUUUAUCUUUUUGAAAAUAAUUUUAUUGAAUAAACUAUAAGACAAUAGGUAUUAUUAGCAACAUGCUUCAUGAAAUACCUGCAAAAAAUCAUCAGCAACAUAUUCACAUGUUUUGUUAAAAUUGCACAUAUAAAUAUCCACAAAAAGCCUAAAUUUUAUUGGAAAAGUAAAAUAACUGGAUCAAUAAUGUAAAAAAAUUUUUGGUUUAUUAAUAAAACUUGCUAUUUUGCAAGCUGUCUUUCAUUGCAAUACUUCCUAGAGAAUCUAGCUUCAGUUUGAACCCAAGCCAAGGUAACAUCUUGAUGUGAGGAUGCUUGUCUGCAGUAGUUUGGAGAGCUCACUGGCUGAAUUCUCUUCAGUCAAACCAACUGACUUUGUCCAUGUGGCUGAACCUUCCAUUAAGAUGUCAUUUCUAUAGACAGACUACUAUCAUGAUCCUGAAUCAGAUCUUAUGGUGUUUCAGAUCUUUGAUUUUAAACCAUCAUAGCUCUGCACGUAAUUUAAUUCCAACGUGGACGAACCCUACCCUAUGACAUAAGUAUCAUGACAGUCAGAUGGUAAAAAAAACAAUGUUGAAAAAUAUAACAUUUAUUUGUGUAGCCAUCACAUAGUAACAAAAAAAAUAGGGAUAAAUUUCUUCGCUGUUUAGAUUUAAGACUACACAAAAUACUACAUUAUCAAAAUGUAGAUUCAAAAUUAUAAGAUACAAAGAUAACAAAAAUAUAAGUGACUUCAAAAAGACCAUUCCUUAAUUAUUCACGCUCUCAAUUUCACAUCAAUAUGAUGGCACUACUAUCAUAAAGCACCCUGCACAGUCACUGUUAUGUUUACUUAUAAUAAAUGCCAACCAAGCAGUCACUUUGGACAGCACAUUGACUUGUUGUUUGUGGAUAUGAUACUAUAAUGAUGAA